rnacentral:misc_RNA from 1 species
UCUGUCUUACGACAGCAGUCUGUUGUGACACUUGUAACACAACAUAGGGGUUGCGCUCGUUAAUCCACUUAAGGAAACCUCUCACGAGACGAGCUGACGACAGCCGUGCAGCACCUGUCCAGCACCUUCGAAAGCUUCUCUAUUUCUAGAGCGUGCAGCUGGAUUUCAAGCCUUGGUGAGGUUCCUCGCUUAGAGUCGAAUUGAACCACAUGAUCCACCGCUUGUGCGAAUUCCCGCCUAUUUCUUUGAGUUUUAACCUUGCGAUCGUACUUCCCAGGCGACACACUUAACGCGUUAGCUUCGCCACUGGAAGGGUCGAUGCUUCCAAUAGCUAGUGUGUAUUGUUUAGGGCGUGGACUA